CCUACGGGGGGCAGCAGUGGGGGAUAUUGCACAAUGGGGGAAACCCUGAUGCAGCGACGCCGCGUGAGUGAAGAAGUAUUUCGGUAUGUAAAGCUCUAUCAGCAGGGAAGAAAAUGACAGUACCUGACCAAGAAGCCCCGGCUAACUACGUGCCAGCAGCCGCGGUACUACGUAGGGGGCAAGCGUUAUCCGGAUUUACUGGGUGUAAAGGGAGCGUAGACGGUGUGGUAAGUCUGGAGUGAAAUCCCAGGGCCCAACCCCGGGACUGCUUUGGAAACUGUGGAGCUGGAGUGCAGGAGGGGCAGGCGGAAUGCGUGGGGUAGCGGUGAAAUGCGUAGAUAUCAGGAGGAACACCAGCGGCGAAGGCGGCUUACGGGACUGAAACUGACGUUGAGGCACGAAAGCGUGGGGAGCAAACAGGAUUAGAUACCCGAGUAGUC
rnacentral:rRNA from 1 species